rnacentral:rRNA from 1 species
UACGUAGGGGGCAAGCGUUGUCCGGAUUUAUUGGGCGUAAAGAGCGUGUGGGCGGCCUUACAGGUCAGCUGUGAAAACUCGAGGCUCAACCUCGAGACGUCGGUUGAAACCGUAAGGCUAGAGUCCGGAAGAGGAGAGUGGAAUUCCCGGUGUAGCGGUGAAAUGCGCAGAUAUCGGGAAGAACACCCGUGGCGAAGGCGGCUCUCUGGGACGGUACUGACGCUGAGACGCGAAAGCGUGGGGAGCGAACAGG